CUGGCGACGAGUGGCGGACGGGUGAGUAAUACUUAGGAAUCUGCCCAGUAGUGGGGGACAACUCGGGGAAACUCGAGCUAAUACCGCAUACGCCCUAAGGGGGAAAGCGGGGGAUCUUCGGACCUCGCGCUAUUGGAUGAGCCUAAGUCGGAUUAGCUUGUAGGUAGGGUAACGGCCUACCUAGGCGACGAUCCGUAGCUGGUCUGAGAGGACGAUCAGCCACACUGGGACUGAGACACGGCCCAG
rnacentral:rRNA from 1 species